AAGGUGGUCUCCUUGGACCAAACUCUUUCCCUGUAUCAAUUCUUUUUCUUACUUGCAUUACGGUUAGGUAAGAAACCUUUGCGGUUUGUGCAAUUUUUCAUUGAGAAUAAUUUGAGAGGCUUUAUUUAGCAGAAGUUAUAGAAGUUUUUGGUAUAGUUUACAAAAUUAAGUAUUAUAAGAAAUCAGGAGACAUUUGUAAUAAAUUUAUGAGACGAUGACGAUUUUACCAUUCUACAGAAUUUAAAUAUACAUUAUUUCUUCUAAGGCUUGUUUCUAAUAAUAAAAAUUAAUUUUUAGUUUAACAGGUGUUUCGUUUUUUUUAUAUUUAGUGUAUGACAGCAUGCGACCUUAAUCAAACUUUUAACCUGACAAAGUGUCUCAUAACUUGUAAAAAUUAUAAUUUGUGUGAACCUGGUUGUUUAUUCUACAGUCAUAUUAAAGAAAAUGACACUGGUUGUUGACCAACGGUUUAUAAUCAAAAUUUAAUAUGGCUGGCGGUAAAGGUAAAGAGAAG